AUUUUUUUCAAGAGGCUUAUUUGCUGGAGUCCAUGAAGCCGAUCACUGACGCUGGUUGCCACUUGAAACAGAGCGGCACAUGAAGGGUAUUGAAAACUCAUACAAAUCUUUUCUAGAUAACGUCGCAUUAUCAAGAUCAUUAAGCGCAUAUCACACCAAACAGAUUGCUGAGAGAAGGAUUUGGACUGGCAAGGAAGCAUUAUCCAAUGGUCUAAUCGAUGCAUAUGGAGGACUUUCGCAUGCUAUUUAUAUAGCAAAAGUGAAAGCAAAAAUACCCGCGGAUACACUUGUUAGACUUGAGGACCUGUCCAGGCAUGAUCAGUCUGUUUUUGAGGCUUUAAGGCGUCACAUCAUUCAGUUUGCUGUAUUCGUGUUUGAGAUGUUUGAGGAGUUGUACAGGAAGAUGGAGAGAUGAUACCCUAGAGCUGGAUAAUGAGGGUGGGAGAGAUGAUGAUACUAAGAGCUGGAUAAUGAAGGUGGUGAAAUUUGUUCUCUUGUGGCUUUGUGCAGAGCAAGGGAAGGAAGGGUUAAACUAAUUUUUUGAGCUAAUUUGACAUAGAUGCUUCUGUUUAAUUUUUUGAGCUAAUUUGACAAGCUGCUUGAAUUAGUUGUGCAUCAUUAAAACUAUUCUAGCUUGUAAAGUGAUCUGUGAUGGUUCGGAAUGUACAGACUGCAGAAGAUAUUAUCUUUGGAAUGUACUUAAAAGUGACGUGAUAUUAGUUUUAUGAGGCUCUGGAAGUAGUUUUCGGUA